UGCCUUANACAUGCAAGUCGAACGGCAGNACGGGAGCAAUCCUGGUGGCGAGUGGCGAACGGGUGAGUAAUAUAUCGGAACGUGCCCAGUCGUGGGGGAUAACGUAGCGAAAGCUACGCUAAUACCGCAUACGAUCUAUGGAUGAAANCGGGGGAUCGCAAGACCUCGCGCGAUUGGAGCGGCCGAUAUCAGAUUAGGUAGUUGGUGAGGUAAAGGCUCACCAAGCCGACGAUCUGUAGCUGGUCUGAGAGGACGACCAGCCACACUGGGACUGAGACACGGCCCCAGACUCCUACGGGAGGCAGCAGUGGGGAAUUUUGGACAAUGGGCGCAAGCCUGAUCCAGCAAUGCCGCGUGCAGGAUGAAGGCCUUCGGGUUGUAAACUGCUUUUGUACGGAACGAAACGGUGAGCUCUAAUACAGUUUGCUAAUGACGGUACCGUAAGAAUAAGCACCGGCUAACUACGUG
rnacentral:rRNA from 1 species